rnacentral:rRNA from 1 species
CCUACGGGACGCACCAGUGGGGAAUAUUGCACAAUGGGGGAAACCCUGAUGCAGCAACGCCGCGUGAGUGAUGACGGCCUUCGGGUUGUAAAGCUCUGUCUUCAGGGACGAUAACGACGGUACCUGAGGAGGAAGCCACGGCUAACUACGUGCCAGCAGCCGCGGUAAUACGUAGGUGGCGAGCGUUGUCCGGAUUUACUGGGCGUAAGGGGAGCGUAGGCGGACUUUUAAGUGAGAUGUGAAAUACCCGGGCUCAACUUGGGUACUGCAUUUCAAACUGGAAGUCUAGAGUGCAGGAGAGGAGAAUGGAAUUCCUAGUGUAGCGGUGAAAUGCGUAGAGAUUAGGAAGAACACCAGUGGCGAAGGCGAUUCUCUGGACUGUAACUGACGCUGAGGCUCGAAAGCGUGGGGAGCAAACAGGAUUAGAUACCCCCGUAGUC